AAAUCCUAAAUCAUUUGAUCCAAAACAAGAACGAGUAUUGCAUGGAGGUUACACCCAAAACUUUAGCUGAUGUCAAAGGUGGCACCCUAGCUAAUCUCAUAUGAAGGAAAAGUACAGCUUUUGGAAAUAGCACAAGUGCCUGAUGAUCA